rnacentral:rRNA from 1 species
GACGAACGCUGGCGGUGUGCUUAACACAUGCAAGUCGAACGGUAAGGCCCUUUCGGGGGUACACGAGUGGCGAACGGGUGAGUAACACGUGAGUAACCUGCCCUCAUCUCUGGGAUAACAGUCGGAAACGGUUGCUAAUACUGGAUAUGAGCUUGCAAGGCAUCUUGUGGGUUGGAAAGAUUUUUUUUGGUUGGGGAUGGACUCGCGGCCUAUCAGCUUGUUGGUGAGGUAGUGGCUCACCAAGGCUUCGACGGGUAGCCGGCCUGAGAGGGCGACCGGCCACAUUGGGACUGAGAGACGGCCCAAACUCCUACGGGAGGCAGCAAUGGGGAAUAUUGCACAAUGGACGGAAGUCUGAUGCAGCAACGCCGCGUGCGGGAUGACGGCCUUCGGGUUGUAAACCGCUUUCAAUUGUGACGAAGCGUUUUUGUGACGGUAGCAGUAGAAGAAGCACCGGCUAACUACGUG